UAGGUGGGAGACCAUGAAGCAUCUACGCCAUUAGUUGUGGAGUCGUCCUUGUAAUAACACACUUGAAAAUUUGAAGAUCUAACUCAGGAGAGAUUCGAGGACAGUGUAUGGUGGUUAGUAUGACUGGGGCGGUCUCCUCCUAAAGAGUAACUGAGGAGUAAGAAGGUGCACUCGGUACGGUCGGUAAUCGUGCCAAGAGUAUAAAGGCAAAAGUUCUCAUGACUGAGAGAUUGACGGCUCGAGCAGGUACGAAAGUAGUUCUUAGUUAUACGGUGGACC
rnacentral:rRNA from 1 species